rnacentral:lncRNA from 1 species
AAGAAUAAUACCCUUACCUUAAAAAGAAGAGUAUUCCGACGGGUAGGGCGGGAAUAUACUUGAAGAAAACUUGUACUAUUCUCUAUGCUCAAAACUUUUUUAAACUCUAAAGAAAUACGCUCAAGAUUAUAGAAGAAGAAUUCUCUGAAUUUCUGGUGUAUUUUUUAAUUCUAACUAAACAUCCUAUUUAUAGGAGAAUGGAAAGGAU